UUUUUUCUUUUGCUUCAUCUUGUCGGAUCUUGUGUAGUUCGACGGAUUGAGUAAAAAUCCCCAAUGACGCAAGCUUAACGUAAGCAUUUGGUCUCGAAUACAACAGAUGGCGCCAUUGCUAAUUCAUGAAUGGCAAUAUCCUGAAUGGCUGAAAUGUCAUUCAAGAAAUAAACUAUCACGAGGAGAAACGGUUUCAGACGCUUGCCUGCAUCGAUUUGCAACCCUAUGCCUUGAGCACACAGCACGGAUUAAUGCCCUGUAAACGGAUAAAGAGAAGAUGCCCGAAGUAUUCUGCGGUUUCCGUGGUUUCAACAUGAAUUUACAUUUCGCGCAGGCUUUGGCGAUUGAUCAUCCCUUAUGCAGUGUCUGCUUAGCUAGUAGAUAUGGAAGUGCUUUGCUAUUGCUGCCAGCGUAAAACACCAGAUCGGUGCCUCCCGCAAUCUUUCCACCGCUUUAUUGUACGAAUUCCUUGCAAAUUAAUUAUUAAAAUUUUUGUUGUGCACUUCGGGCGGUAUGUGGCAGACGAAUUCAACAAAUAACAGCGGGUCUGUUGCUGGAAGCAAUUUGCAGAACGAUUCCAAGGUGAUCGUAGCAUCAACGUCCAACACUAAUUUCUCAGCAACCGCAGCAGACACUGGUUCAACCGUUGUGACUUCACCAUCUAGCACUCCCACCCAAGCCACCUACUAUCUUAUAUACCACAAUGGAUUUCAACUAAGUAUUCCACCGAAUACAGUGCCACCACCAUUUACACCUGCGCAUUUUACCAGUACGACCAACUCUGGCACAUCCCCUUCGUCGGGACAAGUUACACAGUCUGCAGUUGGCGGAGCUUAUAGUUUGCUUGCGAACACAUCAAUAACUGCUGCUGCAGCUGUAGGUACAAGAACAACAGCAGGAAAUACUUCAACAGCAACAACAACGAAGAGGGCGGCAACGAAUAAGUGAUGGGGUGAGUGAGU